AUACGAAGGGUGCAAGCGUUACUCGGAAUUACUGGGCGUAAAGCGUGCGUAGGUGGUUGUUUAAGUCUGUCGUGAAAGCCCUGGGCUCAACCUGGGAAUGGCGAUGGAAACUGGGCGACUAGAGUGUGGCAGAGGGUAGUGGAAUUCCUGGUGUAGCAGUGAAAUGCGUAGAGAUCAGGAGGAACAUCCGUGGCGAAGGCGACUGCCUGGGACAACACUGACACUGAGGCACGAAAGCGUGGGGAGCAAACAGGAUUAGAGACCCUGGUAGUCCACGCCCUAAACGAUGCGAACUGGAUGUUGGGUGCAAUUUGGCACGCAGUAUCGAAGCUAACGCGUUAAGUUCGCCGCCUGGGGAGUACGGUCGCAAGACUGAAACUCAAAGGAAUUGACGGGG
rnacentral:rRNA from 1 species